GUGUCAGCCGCCGCGGUAAUACGUAGGGAGCAAGCGUUGUUCGGAUUUACUGGGCGUAAAGGGCGCGUAGGCGGCGUGUUAAGUCAGCUGUGAAAUCUCCAAGCUCAACUUGGAACGGCCAGCUGAUACUGAUGUGCUAGAGUGCAGAAGGGGCAAUCGGAAUUCUUGGUGUAGCGGUGAAAUGCGUAGAUAUCAAGAGGAACACCUGAGGUGAAGACGGGUUGCUGGGCUGACACUGACGCUGAGGCGCGAAAGCCAGGGGAGCAAACGGGAUUAGAUACCCCCGUAGUCC
rnacentral:rRNA from 1 species